AAAAAUACACUGCACAGUACAAAGGAUUGAACGCUUAUAAUCUGCAAAUUAAACCAUUUCUACUUAUAACUUAUCGUUUAUGAGCUUCUUCCAGCAGGAUCAUCUUGUUGAUUGGUCGAACCAUAACUGAUGUGGAUGUCUUGAUAUUCGCCGAUCACACUAAACCGUCCUUCUUGUUGGUGUAUACUUCGAGAACACAACCAAGUGGCCACGAAUUGCAAGGUGUUUUCUCAUCAAGCACCAAAACAGUAUCGUUGACUUCCAAGUUUCUCCACAACUAGUUCCAUUUCUGUCUUUGUUGCACAGAAGGCAAAUACUCGCGAAGCCAACAUCGCAUUACACCUGUCAUCAACGACGCACGCUACAAUUUUAGUUUCUCAAAAACAUUCCAGAUGGAGUGUCUAGAGGGUCCAGGUUGUAGCAGUGGUAUAGAUGGUUGGGAGAUAACGCUUCAAGAUCCUUUGGGUCGUCUGAUGGUGUACUUUCGUCAUCGGUCGUUCGUUCACAAUCGGUUCAACUUCGCACCUCAGAGUACUCAGCCCUUCGUCAUUGGAGUCAAUUGUUAAAAUGAAUGCACAAUAGUGUUCAGCCAGGAGCAUCUCAAAUGAUCUGUCAAAUGGAACACAGUACUGAUACCCUACAAUAGAACUGUCUCCUAUUACGUUACCGCUAUAGCUCUCACUGUACUCUAAAACAAAAUCUGUGUCAAAUACUGUAAGUUGUGAAGGCAAUUCUGUAAAC